rnacentral:rRNA from 1 species
UUCUCUAUCCAUGGGAUUGAUUGGCAUUAUCUGCGAUGAAGGACGUGCUGGAGGACGAUAUGCCGUUUUUUUUAGCGGAUGUCUGAAUUAGGUGUUUGUGCGCCUGUGGACCCCUUUNACUUAAGCAUA